rnacentral:rRNA from 1 species
GACGAACGCUGGCGGCGUGCCUAACACAUGCAAGUCGAACGGGGUAGCAAUACCCCAGUGGCGAACGGGUGCGUAACACGUGAGGAACAUUCCUUCCGGUGGGGGAUAGCCGGCCUAACGGCCGGGUAAUACCGCAUACGCUGUUCGGGGUGCAUACCCUGGAUCGGAAAGCAGCAAUGCGCCGGAAAGGUGCCUCGCGGCCUAUCAGCUAGUUGGUGAGGUAAUGGCUCACCAAGGCGACGACGGGUAGCUGGUCUGAGAGGAUGGCCAGCCACAUUGGGACUGAGACACGGCCCAGACACCUACGGGUGGCUG